GAUGAAGAACGUAGCGAAAUGCGAUACGUAAUGUGAAUUGCAAAUUCAGUGAAUCAUCGAGUCUUUGAACGCACAUUGCGCCCCCUGGUAUUCCGGGGGGCAUGCCUGUCCGAGCGUCAUUACUGCCCUCAAGCCCGGCUUGUGUGUUGGGCCCCGUCCUCCGAUCCCGGGGGACGGGCCCGAAAGGCAGCGGCGGCACCGCGUCCGGUCCUCGAGCGUAUGGGGCUUUGUCACCCGCUCUGUAGGCCCGGCCGGCGCUUGCCGAUCAACCCCAAUUUUUUAUAGGUUGACCUCGGAUCAGGUAGGGAUACCCGCUGAACUUAAGCAUAUCAAAAGCGGAGGA
rnacentral:misc_RNA from 1 species